CUCUUCUCCAUUGCAUCUGUCACCUUCUAGCCUUUUAGCUGGUUAGAAUGAGAAUGUGAGUACUUUAAGAACAGGAAUGUUAAUCUUUUGUUCACUGUAUCUCAUCAUCUUCAGUAAGUGCUCCAGAAAUAUUUGUUGAAUAAAUGAAUGUUUAUUAUGUGCCGAAAUCUAUUCUCAAAAUACAAGAAUUAAUAAGACAUGGGUGCUUGGUAAUAGUUUAAUGGGAAAGACACACAAUUAACAAGAAGAUACAGGAAAACAGGAUAACAAAAUAGCAAAUGCAUAAUAAUUGCAAAAAAUUAGGAGACAAUUGAACUAAAUUUAAUAAAUGUGUGUGUGUGUGUGUGUGUGUGUGGUGUGUUACAUUAAUGGUUGUAAUCUCAUUCUGCAUCACAGUGUGUGUGUGUGUGUGUGGUGUGUUACAUUAAUGGUUGUAAUCUCAUUCUGCAUCACAGUGUGUGUGUGUGUGUGUGUGUGUGUGUGUGGUGUCUUACAUUAAUGGUUGUAAUCUCAUUCUGCAUCACACUGUUAAAUUUUCUAUCAUUAAAAUGGUUCCUCUAAUGCAAUUCAAUACAUCAGUAUUCAUUUUGGUCUCCAAGGACCACUAUGACUUUCAGGUGCUCCACCUCUGGGGAAAUUUAAGAAUUGCUAUUUCAUUGUGUGGUGAUUUUCAAAGGCGUUCACAUAUAUUUUUCUCACCUAAUCCUCAGAACAACCUUCAAAUGAUUCAUCCAAAAUACCACACUACAUUUAGUGAUCAUAUCUUUUUAGGAUCUUCUUGGCUAUGACAGUUGCUUAAACUUUUCUUGUUUUUGAUGACCUUGACAGUUUUGAGAAUUAAUGUGAUAUUUUGAAGAAUGUCUCUCCUAAGUGUGAUGUGUAUGUUUUUCUCAUGAGUAGACUGAAGUUAGGGUUUUGGGGAAGAAGACUAAAUAGGUAAAGUGCCAUUUUCAUCACAUCAAGUGUAAAUGCUAUCACGUGACCUCUGACCAUUGAUGUCAACCUUCAUUAUCUGAGUUCGUCCUUUUCAGAUUUUUCCAUUGUAAUCCAUGUGAUAUAUGAUAUUCAAUCCAAUGAAUAUUUACAUAUGGAAGAUUUCCCUCUGUUAAGUUUAAAAAAGUGGCUGACUCCAGUUGGAAAUUUCAGAAAGAGGAUUUAUAAUCUUUUCCUUUGUAAUUAUGUAUUGAAUACAUUUAAUGCACAAUUUGAGUAAUCUUUGACAGCAUUUUUAAUUAUUUUCUUAUUGUAGUAUCUGUGUCAAGCUUAUAAUAUAUGUAUCAAGGUUGGCUGGAUUAUAUGCUCUAAAAUCAUAGUUUACUGUCUUCCUGUUAUCCCUGUUUGAAAACUAAGGCAACUAGACAGCAGUCUCUGAAGGAAUAGAAUAUUACGUACUGUCCUUCCACAUCUAAGAUUCAAUGAUUUUGAUUUUUGGCUAUUUUAGUUUAUAAAAAAUGGAUUAUAACAUUGUAUACAACUAGGUAUAUGUGUAAGACAUAUAUAUUCCUUAUUGUGGAUAAUACCAAUGUAGGCUAUGACCCUAUACAAAUUAAUUAAAAUUUAAAUAUCCUUAGAAACUGGAUUAAUUAUUAAGCUCGAUAUUGCAAUUGACAUGUUCAGUAUAAUUCAUUCAGGAACAUAUAUAUAUAUAUACACACUAUACUUUAAGUUCUGGGGUACAUGUGCAGAAUGUGCAGGUUUGUUUCACAGGAAUACAUGUGCCAUGCAGGUUUGUUGUAUCCAUCACCCCAUCAUCUACAUUAGGUAUUUCUCUUAAUGUUAUUCCUCCCC
rnacentral:lncRNA from 13 species